UACUGGGCGUAAGCGCACGCAGGCGGUCAUGUUAAGUCAGAUGUGAAAGCCCCGAGCUCAACUUGGGAACUGCAUCUGAUACUGGCUGGCUAGAGUCUUGUAGAGGGGGGUAGAAUUCCAGGUGUAGCGGUGAAAUGCGUAGAGAUGUGGAGGAAUACCGGUGGCGAAGGCGGCCCCCUGGACUAAGACUGACGCUCAGGUGCGAAAGCGUGGGGAGCAAACAGGAUUAGAAACCCUUGUAGUC
rnacentral:rRNA from 1 species